rnacentral:lncRNA from 12 species
AUGGGGGCUGGCGGCGGGGCCGGGGCUGGGAGUCUAGACCCGAGGCUGGCGGAGGCGGAGCGGAGGCGGAGCCGCUCCGAGAUCCCCGAGGGCGCCGGGGCGCCGGGCAGCGGCCGGGAGGUUCGCCGGGGCGAGGGCCCAGGUGCGGGAAAGCGCCUCCGCCCCCUUCCUCCUCGCCGCGGCCCCGGCAUCCUGACCGGCCGGGGAGUCCGGGUCGUUGGAGCGCCCGGCGGGUCCCGCGAGGUGCAUCCAGGCCGGGUGCACGGGGCGGGGCGGGGGGGCGCGAGGGCCCAGCAGCACGCGGCCCCGCGGCGCCAGCUCCCCAGGCCCCAGGUCCAGAGAGGACGCCCGAGGUGUGGCAAGGGCAUGCGGGCACGGCGGGGAGAGCUGGGCCCCCCGACGCGGCUUCCGGGGUGUCGCGGAGCAGGGCGACCCUCGCGGGGACGCCGGCACUGCGAGGCGGGGAGCGGGGCACAGAGUUUCGCUGGAACCGCCGGGGGGUGCCCACUGCGGGGCCCUGGUCCCGGCGGCCCCAGGAGCCCACGGGCGAGGGGAACAUCGCCCCCGCUCGACGGGGAGGUCUCUGCUCCCGGGCGCCCCGGGCCGCACCCCCGGGCCGCACCCCCUGGCUCCCUCCUCGACCCCGGCACGCGGCCCUCCCGGCGCCGGACUCCUGGGUCCCUGCGAGUCCCGGCGCCGUCGGCCGCCCUUCCCGCCCCGCGCUCCCUGCGCAGCCCCGGCGGGAGCCCCGCUCGGCUAGACCAGGGCGCACAGGCUGGGGAAGCAAAGCGGCGGGCGGCCGCGGAGGGCGGGAAGGACCCCGGGCCCAGCGGCGGGGAGGGCGCCUUCCGCCCGCUCGCCUUUCUUUCUUUUCUUUCUUUCUUUCUUUCUUUCUUUCUUUCUUUCUUUCUUUCUUUCUUUCUUUCUUUCUUUCUUUCUUUCUUUCUUUCUUUCUUUCUUCUUUCUUUCUUUCUUUUUCUUUCUUUUUCUUUUCUUCUUUCUUUCUUUCUUUCUUUCUUUCUUUCUUUCUUUCUUUCUUUCUUUUUUUGUUUUUCUUCUUUCUUUUUUAAAUGUAAAUAUGUAAGCUUAAAACUAUCAAAAUCCCUGACAGAUUCAUUAUGGAGAUAG